AUUGAACGCUGGCGGCAUGCCUUACACAUGCAAGUCGAACGGCAGCGCGGGCUUCGGCCUGGCGGCGAGUGGCGAACGGGUGAGUAAUGCAUCGGAACGUGCCCAGUAGUGGGGGAUAGCCCAGCGAAAGCCGGAUUAAUACCGCAUACGACCUGAGGGUGAAAGCGGGGGACCGAAAGGCCUCGCGCUAUUGGAGCGGCCGAUGUCGGAUUAGCUAGUUGGUGGGGUAAAGGCUUACCAAGGCGACGAUCCGUAGCUGGUCUGAGAGGACGACCAGCCACACUGGGGCUGAGACACGGCCCAGACUCCUACGGGAGGCAGCAGUGGGGAAUUUUGGACAAUGGGGGCAACCCUGAUCCAGCCAUGCCGCGUGCGGGAAGAAGGCCUUCGGGUUGUAAACCGCUUUUGUUCGGGAAGAAAUCCUCUGGGCUAAUACCCCGGGGGGAUGACGGUACCGGAAGAAUAAGCACCGGCUAACUACGUG
rnacentral:rRNA from 1 species